AUUGAACGCUGGCGGCAGGCUUAACACAUGCAAGUCGAGCGGAGAUGAGGUGCUUGCACCUUAUCUUAGCGGCGGACGGGUGAGUAAUGCUUAGGAAUCUGCCUGGUAGUGGGGGAUAACGCUCGGAAACGGACGCUAAUACCGCAUACGUCCUACGGGAGAAAGCAGGGGACCUUCGGGCCUUGCGCUAUCAGAUGAGCCUAGGUCGGAUUAGCUAGUUGGUGAGGUAAUGGCCCACCAAGGCGACGAUCCGUAACUGGUCUGAGAGGAUGAUCAGUCACACUGGAACUGAGACACGGUCCAGACUCCUACGGGAGGCAGCAGUGGGGAAUAUUGGACAAUGGGCGAAAGCCUGAUCCAGCCAUGCCGCGUGUGUGAAGAAGGUCUUCGGAUUGUAAAGCACUUUAAGUUGGGAGGAAGGGUCGUUACCUAAUACGUGACGAUUUUGACGUUACCGACAGAAUAAGCACCGGCUAACUCUGUGCCAGCCGCCGCGGUAAAAC
rnacentral:rRNA from 1 species